AUUAUCCUGAAAAUUACAAAGGCAAAAGGUUUGGUGAAGUCAUUGGGCCGGUUUGCGAUAGGAGUUGGGCUCCCAUUCUCCAUCGGCCCUCACAUUAUUCGUCCUGAACCCUAGCUAGCUCGGAUCAGCUGGAGCGGCGGCGGAGCAUACCAUGCGAGGCGAGCGCUCUCAUAUGAUCGGAUCGGUGGAUCCAAUCGGACCCCGCAGCCCAACCCCGACCGUCCCGCUCGCCUUGGCCGAUGACCACGUCCCUCCAAAACGGCGGCGAUGAUGGAGGGAUCCGCCAGCGUCGGCCAGGCUCCCAACCCAUGGACUCGCCGGGUCGCCGCUCCUCGGGGCCAGCCCCUCUCGCCGCGCCUGCUCGGGGACCCCUCGGGGAUGCCGCCGGUGCGGUGGGACGUCCGCGGCGGCGCCGGCUGGGCACCGAGCGGCGGGUCCCGUGGCGGGGGUUCCGGUCGGGGGCUUGGUCCGGCCGGCGCGGGAUCUGAGCUGCCGUCGAUCUGAGCCGCCGGCGCUUGGCUGCAUGUUGCUCUGGAUCCGUGACUCCUUUUAUGUGAAGUGAACAAAUGUCAAUUGCUUCUUUCAUUGCCAGUAAUACAGCCAUCAGUGCAGUGUUCCAAAUUAACUUCUGAAUACAGUAUAUAUGUUUCCGUUGUAUGUUGAUUAUAAUUAUGGUUUUCUGAAUGGCUAUGGUGAUUUCCGCC